ACUUUUUUACUUUUUUUUUUUUUGAGACAGGGUCUUAACUCUGUCACCCAGGCUGGAGUGCAGUGGUGUGACCACAGCCACUGCAGGCUCAACCUCUGGGACUCAGGUGAUCCUCCCAUCUCAGCCUCCCAAGUAGCUGGGACUACAGGUUGCUUCUUCCAGAUCCCUUUUGAUCUACUUUCAGCUAUGGAUUCAUGAGAAUCAAGACUAAGCAGCCUGAAUUGAAGGAGUAACAGUAUCACCUAACAAUGAUUUUGCUGCCAUAGUAGCUGUUUGUAUACUGGCCAUAUGCCUAGGUAAAAUGAGGCCAGAUCACUCUCAAGAGUUUUCUAUCAGAGUUGGUGGUGAACUACUGCUCACGGAUAAUGACGAGAAACCCCAGCUGAGGAGGCAAAUAUACUCAAGGAAAGUAAUAGUUUCCAAAUGCCUGGCAGUGCCAGGAAGGGGCCAUGUCCAUGGACCACUAUGUAAGGAUAUCUCAGUCUCUAGUCCAGCGUGGUUUAUGGUGCCAAAUAAGUGCCAGGUGAACUCACUACAUCUGACAAAAUCUCAAGGAACCAAGUUUACCAGAUAAUAUUUAUGAUUAUGUGAAAAAGACUGAGGAAAUCACUCAAGUGAUCCAUCAUACAGCACCUCCAGUUCCAAAGAAUACUGACUUACUUCAGCUGUACUGGUCUGGAGCUGCACAUUCUUUUCAGACAACUCUUGUUCCAGUAAGUUCAGGUGACUCUUCUCCUGUAACAGAGCCUCCUUCUUAGAAACUAUGGCCUCCCGUUUCUUUAAGUCUGCUUCCAGCUCCUCUAAUUCUUG
rnacentral:lncRNA from 1 species